rnacentral:tRNA from 1 species
CGCUAGCUCAGUUGGUUAGAGCAGCUGACUCUUAAUCAGCGGGUCCGGGGUUCGAGUCCCUGGCGGCGCA